GCAUCCGUAGCUCAGCUGGAUAGAGUACUCGGCUACGAACCGAAGUACUCGGCUACGAACCGAGCGGUCGGAGGUUCGAAUCCUCCCGGAUGCACCA
rnacentral:tRNA from 1 species